AAUUGUGUGAUUAUGGGAGACUUUGUCUUCCCAGAUAUAGAUUGGAGGACAAGUGUUCCUAAUAAUAGCAGGGCCCAGAUUUUCCUGGAGGUGAUAGCUGACAAGCAGAAAAGCCUAAAAGGAAUGGAAGACGUGAUGGAUCAGCAAGGAAAGCUACCUCUUGGAGGUCAGAAAGUAUAGGGAUAAAAAAAAAAGGAGUACUUGUGGCACCUUAGAGA